CACAAAUUACCUCAGACACACAGACUGAUGCGACAAAACCAACAUGGCUGGUAAGGACAUGAGGAGGAAACAGUAGGAGCUGUGUGAGGCUACUAAAGGCAGUGAAUCCCUCAGCAGCUGGAUUACAAAGAGCACAGUCUCAGAUCAACACAGCCCUGCCCUCCAGCACUAUCAGCAGCAGGAGCAGCAGCAACCCCUCAACAGCAACAUUGUACCCAUCAGGU